GACAGAGGUUGCAAACGUUGUUCGGAAUUACUGGGCAUAAAGCGCACGUAGGCGGUCCGUUAAGUCAUGUGUGAAAUCCCCCGGCUCAACCGGGGAAUUGCGCCUGAUACUGGCGGGCUAGAGGUCGAUAGGGGUGAGCGGAACUCCAGGUGGAGCGGUGAAAUGCGUAGAUAUCUGGAGGAACACCGGUGGCGAAAGCGGCUCACUGGAUCGAAACUGACGCUGAGGUGCGAAAGCUAGGGUAGCAAAC
rnacentral:rRNA from 1 species